rnacentral:rRNA from 1 species
GGCGGCCGUAGCGCGGUGGACCCACCUGACCCCAUGCCGAACUCAGAAGUGAAACGCCGUAGCGCCGAUGGUAGUGUGGGGUCUCCCCAUGCGAGAGUAGGGAACUGCCAGGC